GUGCUCACUUCCCCAGCACAUAUACUAAAAUUGGAACCAUACAGAGAAGAUUAGCAUGGCCCCUGUGACAUGCAAAUUCGUGGUGUUCCAUAAAGAAAAAAAAUAUUUUU